GAUGAACGCUAGCGAUAGGCCUAACACAUGCAAGUCGAGGGGCAUCACAUGAAGUAGCAAUACGGAUGGUGGCGACCGGCGCACGGGUGAGUAACACGUAUGCAACCUGCCUUCAACAAGGGGAUAACCCGUUGAAAGACGGACUAAUACCCUAUAACACAGGGGUCCCGCAUGGGAAUAUUUGUUAAAGGACAACCGGUUGAAGAUGGGCAUGCGUUCCAUUAGCUGGUUGGUGAGGUAACGGCUCACCAAGGCAACGAUGGAUAGGGGAACUGAGAGGUUUAUCCCCCACACUGGUACUGAGACACGGACCAGACUCCUACGGGAGGCAGCAGUGAGGAAUAUUGGUCAAUGGACGCAAGUCUGAACCAGCCACGUCGCGUGAAGGAAGACGGCCCUACGGGUUGUAAACUUCUUUUAUACGGGGAAUAAAGUGCCCCACGCGUGGGGUUUUGCAUGUACCGUAUGAAUAAGGAUCGGCUAACUCCGUGCCAGCAGCCGCGGU
rnacentral:rRNA from 1 species